UGACGUCACAAUGUUCUUAGUGACACAACAAUACCGUAUGACAUCACCCUAAUCAUUGAAGCGGGCUUUGUUGUGGGGAUUGACUACGUCCGUCCCGGCAGCGUCCUUCCAUGGGCACCGCCGCCACCUCGCUCAAAGCAACAGCUAAAUCAAAGUCCACGAAGAAAGCCCGAGUUACCAUAGAAACACCUAUACCAGAUGAAAACGACGACACAGAAAGCAGAAACGUCGUGAUUCUGACCCGCCCCCAAAUGAUCCUGGAUGACAGACGCGAUUCUGUGACUGGUACAUCACGUGCUUCACCAAACACCAGUAGGGACAAGCCAAGUCAACCCGGAAACAAGCCCACGUCUCUCGUGAGGAAAUCAAGCGCCUCGCUCACACGGGUGGUCCGUUUGUAGAAUACCCAGCAAGUUGACACACACACACACACACAGAGAAUGUGAGGUGGCUCCUGACAAUCUGGGAAUCGUGGGUUGAUGUUAAAGCAGAUAUGACUACACAGACAAUUCAUCUGUGUAUGUUGUGUAUUGGAAUAGAAACAAUGUGAUAUCCGUUGUUGCAAGGCUGACAGAAGAUUGAUCCUGAUAACUGUGUUGCCUGCCGCUUCUCUGUGUUUGACAUGAGAUGUGUGGGUCUGCAGUAUUCUACUUCGUGCAUGUACGCUCAUUAACAAGAUUGGUGAACUUGUCCAGUUUGUGGAGUUUCCUACAUGCAUCCAGACUUUUAGUCUCCUGAUAGUUACAAACCCAGUUUACUAAUAAACCUUUCUGAAACAAGUUUGUGUGCUGUUAUGUUGGUAGCAGUGGCUUGUAAUGGAUUGUAACUUCAUUGUGUUAGUUGUGUAAUCAAUUUGCUUGAAUAUUUGAUCAUGCUCAUUGUGUUCCUAC